CAUGACCAACACCCAAGCAUAAAAGGAAAGAAAAUAAGAAAGUCUAGAAAUUAGGUGGAAACAAAUAAUAAAAUAAUAAGUUUAAUCCGCGUUGUAGAGAAUAAAUACCCGAAAAGAGUGGAAAAAAAUAAAAAUUGCAAAGCUACUUUUGGUUAGUUAAUGAGGUUGGAGAUUUCAGCAGGAGACUAUAUAUACGUGUCGUGUCACUCCAUGGAACCCGAUAGCAACCAAAACCUCUUCACCUUUGCCGCUCUCUAACCUUUUUCUCUUCUCUUUCUCACUCCUUCUUCACCACCUCUCUCUCUCUCUCUCUCAUUUUCCGCAACAAUCUCAAAACCCUCCAAAACCCUAACUUUUUCUCUAUAUUCUCUCUUUCUCUUGCUUUGCCAUGCCUGCGAAACGCUCGCGUAUCGGUCAGCCCUCCAGCUUUGGAGAAACCGGAAUGUUCAAUCAGCACUUUCUGCCGCCGGUGGCCGAGUCGUCGUUGGGGCUACAGAACGAUCCCCAUGCUUCUCUGCCGAGAAAUGCCUCGAAGGCACUGAAGCAGUCCGUGGAAGGAGUAGAGGAGCCUCAAAACUUCCUGUCGAGUCUUCUCUCUCAGCCGUCGUUGCCAGAGAUAGGGAAGGAAGGGCGAAUCGGUCAUUUUCUCGAUGAAUGUCAGUACUGCAAGAAGAAAAUCGGUCAGCAUCAGGAAGUGUACAUGUAUAGAUGCUUUCAAGCAUUCUGUACAUCGGAAUGCCGUGACAGAGCGAUUGAGAUGGACGAAGCAGCCGAAAAACUAUCCAAGCGACCAACCGAAGCACCAGCUCAGUUCAGCAUGGUGGAAAUUAUGAAGGAAGGCAAAGCACCGAGAUGAAAAAAUAAAAAAAAGAAGAAGUAGGUUAAAUUGUGUGAAUAGUGUGAAAUCACGCAAGCCUUAAUAGCCUCCUAUAAAACUACUGCUAGUACUAGUUUUUAGAGGGACUAUAAUGUGGUGGUACACAGCUGUCAUAUUUUAGAGACUGUCGUGCACCAUGCAAUGUAAAUACAAGUCAGCCUUGUUUUAACUUUUUUUUAUUUUAUAUAUAUAUAUAUAUAUAUAUAUAUAUGUGUGUGUCAAAAAGUAAGUUUAUGUAAAGUUUAACCUGGUUUGGCUUAGGUUCUGGAACCUCUACGUUCUUUUUUCCAAGUAAAUCUGUAUCUGUUUCCAGCUUUUAAACGAGCAAGUUUAUUAUAUAUACUUUGCUAAUGCUGAAUAAACUUGAACCUUCCUCAA